rnacentral:rRNA from 1 species
AAACUCCUUUUUAAAAGGCAAACCCCCCUCUCUCUUUUUUUAAGGUUUUCCCCCCUCGUCAGGACGAACGCUGGCGGCGUGCCUAAUACAUGCAAGUCGAGCGCGGGAAGCAGCCUGAAUCCUUCGGGAGGACGUCUGUGGAACGAGCGGCGGACGGGUGAGUAACACGUGGGCAACCUGCCUGUAAGACUGGGAUAACUCCGGGAAACCGGGGCUAAUACCGGGUAAUUCAUCGGAUCGCAUGAUCCGUUGUUGAAAGAUGGCUUUUGCUAUCACUUACAGAUGGGCCCGCGGCGCAUUAGUUAGUUGGUGGGGUAACGGCCUACCAAGGCGACGAUGCGUAGCCGACCUGAGAGGGUGAUCGGCCACACUGGGACUGAGACACGGCCCAGACUCCUACGGGAGGCAGCAGUAGGGAAUCAUCCGCAAUGGACGAAAGUCUGACGGUGCAACGCCGCGUGAGUGAGGAAGGUCUUCGGAUCGUAAAACUCUGUUGUUAGGGAAGAACAGGUUCCGUUUGAAUAAGGCGGAGCUUUGACGGUACCUAACCAGAAAGCCACGGCUAACUACGUGCCAGCAGCCGCGGUAAUACGUAGGUGGCAAGCGUUGUCCGGAAUUAUUGGGCGUAAAGCGCGCGCAGGCGGUUCCUUAAGUCUGAUGUGAAAGCCCAUGGCUCAACCAUGGAGGGUCAUUGGAAACUGGGGAACUUGAGGACAGAAGAGGAGAGCGGAAUUCCACGUGUAGCGGUGAAAUGCGUAGAUAUGUGGAGGAACACCAGUGGCGAAGGCGGCUCUCUGGUCUGUGCCUGACGCUGAGGCGCGAAAGCGUGGGGAGCGAACAGGAUUAGAUACCCUGGUAGUCCACGCCGUAAACGAUGAGUGCUAGGUGUUAGGGGUUUCCACCCUUAGUGCUGCAGUUAACGCAAUAAGCACUCCGCCUGGAGACGCCAACCG